rnacentral:rRNA from 1 species
UCCGUAGGUGGCAAGCGUUGUCCGGAUUUACUGGGCGUAAAGAGCGCGCAGGCGGUCGAGUAAGUCGCGUGUGAAAGCCCCCGGCUCAACUGGGGAGGGUCACGCGAUACUGUUCGACUCGACGGCAGGAGAGGGUAGUGGAAUUCCCGGUGUAGUGGUGAAAUGCGUAGAUACCGGGAGGAACACCAGUGGCGAAGGCGACUACCUGGGCUAACACUGACGCUCAGGCACGAAAGCGUGGGGAGCAAACAGG